GACGAACGCUGGCGGCGUGCUUAACACAUGCAAGUCGAACGGCAAGGCCCUGCUUGCAGGGUCCUCGAGUGGCGAACUGGUGAGUAACACGUGGGUGAUCUGCCCUGCACUUCUGGAUAAGCCUGGGCAACUGGGUCUAAUACCGGAUAGGAGCCAUUUUUAGUGUGAUGGUUGGAAAGUUUUUUCGGUGUAGGAUGAGCUCGCGGCCUAUCAGCUUGUUGGUGGGGUAAUGGCCUACCAAGGCGGCGACGGGUAGCCGGCCUGAGAGGGUGGACGGCCACAUUGGGACUGAGGUACGGCCCAGACUCCUACGGGAGGAAGCAGUGGGGAAUAUUGCACAAUGGGCGCAAGCCUGAUGCAGCGAGGCCGCGUGGGGGAUGACGGCCUUCGGGUUGUAAACUCCUUUCGCUAGGGACGAAGCUUUUUGUGACGGUACCUAGAUAAGAAGCACCGGCUAACUACGUG
rnacentral:rRNA from 1 species